rnacentral:rRNA from 2 species
ACGGGUGAGUAAUACAUCGGAACGUGCCCAAUCGUGGGGGAUAACGCAGCGAAAGCUGUGCUAAUACCGCAUACGAUCUACGGAUGAAAGCAGGGGAUCGCAAGACCUUGCGCGAAUGGAGCGGCCGAUGGCAGAUUAGGUAGUUGGUGAGGUAAAGGCUCACCAAGCCUUCGAUCUGUAGCUGGUCUGAGAGGACGACCAGCCACACUGGGACUGAGACACGGCCCAGACUCCUACGGGAGGCAGCAGUGGGGAAUUUUGGACAAUGGGCGCAAGCCUGAUCCAGCCAUGCCGCGUGCAGGAUGAAGGCCUUCGGGUUGUAAACUGCUUUUGUACGGAACGAAACGGCCUUUUCUAAUAAAGAGGGCUAAUGACGGUACCGUAAGAAUAAGCACCGGCUAACUACGUGCCAGCAGCCGCGGUAAUACGUAGGGUGCAAGCGUUAAUCGGAAUUACUGGGCGUAAAGCGUGCGCAGGCGGUUAUGUAAGACAGUUGUGAAAUCCCCGGGCUCAACCUGGGAACUGCAUCUGUGACUGCAUAGCUAGAGUACGGUAGAGGGGGAUGGAAUUCCGCGUGUAGCAGUG